rnacentral:rRNA from 1 species
UACGUAGGGUGCAAGCGUUAAUCGGAAUUACUGGGCGUAAAGCGUGCGCAGGCGGUUCUAUAAGACAGAUGUGAAAUCCCCGGGCUCAACCUGGGAACUGCCUUUGAUACUGGCGUGCUUGAGUCCGGAAGAGGGUGGCGGAAUUCCCAGUGUAGAGGUGAAAUUCGUAGAUAUUGGGAAGAACACCGGUGGCGAAGGCGGUCACCUGGUCCGGUACUGACGCUGAGGUGCGAAAGCGUGGGGAGCGAACGGG